UCACCUCCCCCGACCCCUUCCCUAACCACCCCGAUCCCACCUGCCCUCUCCUCCACACUGCAUCGCGCCGCCGCCGCCUCCACCCACUCGCUACCCUCCCGCAACUAAACAGCGGGGAGGCUACCCAACCCACCCACGUCGGCGCCGGCGCCGGUCCCGGCCCUAGUGACGCGAGCUGCCGCCAACCAACAUCCCGUGCCACCGUCGCCCCUCCCCUGCUUCUACCACCGUGCCACCCCUCCCUCGGAUCCAUCUGCCGCCGUCACCGGAUUCGGCCGCCCUGAUGGCCUGCCUUCCCCAUCGGCCGUCGCCCUGCCUUCCCCACCGCCCCGCCGCCUAAUCCCACCGCCCGGGUCACCCCACCAGCCCCUCCGCGCGCCGUCGCGGACGACAGAAGCACCCACAGCCGAGGGUCGCGGACGACAGAAGCACCCACAAGCCCCGCCUCGGCCGUCGUGCGCCGGUCUCCCUCCAUCUUCCUCUGCCCGUCAUUCUUCUCCCCUGAAUCUGACGGCAGCUGCCCCUUCUCUCCAACACAUUGCCUGCCAUGAUCCAGAAAAGUGGGCAUGGCCUCCCCUCCCGACGACCUCUUCCGACACUAGAAAUGGUGGCGAGCAAGAACACCCCCUCUCCUGCUAAGUGCUCUCUCUCCCAUAACACAAGAAGUUCAGUUCUCACCUACUCAUUCUGCUCUCGGUGGAGCUGAUGCAUUCUUCUCCCCAGCCGUGACGCUGAAAUAGAACCAUUGGCGUGGCUCGCGUCCAUUCUUUAUUUGCGCGCAUGUGCUUCUAUGGUAGCACCACGAGAAACAACUCGCGCUGUUUUGCAGCAGUGGAUGACGCAGAUUGAGGUGGACUGAAGUUCAAGUGCCAUCCCUGGAGCAUCACUUGGUGUGGUGCCUCUCACCGACCUUCCUCAGCGCCUCUCAUCGGCCUUCCUGGCGCCUCUCAUCGACCUUCUCCAUCCCCAUCGACACAGUACAAAAUUUUUUGGAAGUUCAACAAGUUUUGGUGAGGCAGCUUGCACCAGUCCCGCCUCUCCUCCAUCAUGUGCUCCAGCAGAACCAGGUUCAGCGCACAAAAAAAGCAGCAACAGUGGUCUUCUCAGGAGCCCCGCCUAACAGGAACCUCUCUCUGCGCCACUGAUGGACAUCAUAUUGUAAAAUGAUGCAAAGAACACAUCAUAUUGUAAAUUGAUGUAAAGAACAAGUUCUGAUUAUGUGCUCUGUACAUGCUUGUUGAAAUGCCAAAUGAGAACCGGUACUGUUUUUCUUCA